AACGAACGCUGGCGGCAUGCCUAACACAUGCAAGUCGAACGAGACCUUCGGGUCUAGUGGCGCACGGGUGCGUAACGCGUGGGAACCUGCCCUUAGGUUCGGAAUAACUCCCCGAAAGGGGUUCUAAUACCGGAUAAUGUCUUCGGACCAAAGAUUUAUCGCCUUUGGAUGGGCCCGCGUUGGAUUAGCUAGUUGGUAGGGUAAAAGCCUACCAAGGCGACGAUCCAUAGCUGGUCUGAGAGGAUGAUCAGCCACACUGGGACUGAGACACGGCCCAGACUCCUACGGGAGGCAGCAGUGGGGAAUAUUGGACAAUGGGCGAAAGCCUGAUCCAGCAAUGCCGCGUGAGUGAUGAAGGCCUUAGGGUUGUAAAGCUCUUUUACCCGGGAUGAUAAUGACAGUACCGGGAGAAGAAGCUCCGGCUAACUCCGUG
rnacentral:rRNA from 1 species